UGAGUGUGCUUGUCCAAAGACGCUGUAGAGGACGGUAUGAUGGACUGUCUGGGAGGAGAGGACGAGAUGAGCAAACACAUCACUAAACCUGUAGUUGGCCGCAGUGGAUCACAUGGGAAGACUCAUGAUACCAGAGUUCCAGAGUUCAUUUCUCCAAAACAAGG